AUAAGCGGAGGAAAAGAAACCAACAGGGAUUGCCCUAGUAACGGCGAGUGAAGCGGCAACAGCUCGAAUUUGAAAUCUGGCUCCCUUUGGGGGUCCGAGUUGUAAUCUGCAGAGGAUGCUUCGGGCGAGGUUCCCACCGAGUUCCCUGGAACGGGACGCCACAGAGGGUGAGAGCCCCGUAUGGUGGGAGGCCAAGCCUGUGUGAAGCUCCUUCGACGAGUCGAGUAGCUUGGGAAUGCUGCUCUAAAUGGGAGGUAGACUUCUUCUAAAGCUAAAUACCGGCCAGAGACCGAUAGCGCACAAGUAGAGUGAUCGAAAGAUGAAAAGCACUUUGAAAAGAGGGUCAAACAGUACGUGAAAUUGUUGAAAGGGAAGCGCCUAUGGCCAGACUUGCGCCGGGCCGAUCAUUCAGCGGUCUCCGCUGGUGCACUCGGCCCGUUGCAGGCCAGCGUCGGCUGUCCUGGGGGGAUAAAAGCAGUGGGAACGUAGCUCCCUCCGGGGAGUGUUAUAGCCCGCUGCACAAUACCUCCGGGGCGGCCGAGGUCCGCGCCCUCGUGGCAAGGACGCUGGCGUAAUGGCCAUCAGCGACCCGUCUUGAAACACGGACCAAGGAGUCGAGGUUUUACGCGAGUGUUCGGGUGUCAAGCCCCAGCGCGUAAUGAAAGUGAACGUAGGUGGGAGCCUUCGGGCGCACCAUCGACCGAUCCUGAUGUCUUCGGAUGGAUUUGAGUAAGAGCGUAAAGCCUCGGACCCGAAAGAUGGUGAACUAUGCCUGUAUAGGGUGAAGCCAGAGGAAACUCUGGUGGAGGCUCGCAGCGGUUCUGACGUGCAAAUCGAUCGUCAAAAUAUGGGCAUGGGGGCGAAAGACUAA
rnacentral:rRNA from 1 species